ACAUGGACAAGACACAUCCUGUGAUUAUAAGCUUCCUGAACAAGUAUUUAACAAACUGUAUUUUACUUUUUAAUUUGAAAAGAAUGGUGUACUUGAACAUCUUGCUUAUUCUUGCAUUUGUACUAUGUGGAGGACUGGCGGAUGAUGCGAGACAGUGUAAACAGUGCGCUGGUAUAAUACAUACAACACCGAUGAAUUCAACAGACAAAGUACCAUCAUGUUCUUCUGCGCAACCGACACCGUGUAAUGGUACAGCCUUUGGAUGCGCAGAAUUCGAUGGGAAUGUUUCCAUUGGAAAUCAAAAUGGGACAACAAAUGUGACCAUAAAGUUUCAAUACUGUACAGCAAGUGGUCAAACAAUCUGCUUCAAUGUUACCAACACAAACGUUCAUAACGAGACAUCGGGUCUUCUGAAGGCAUUUUCGGCAGCAGGACUAGGUUUUGGAUCAGGACAACUUCAAGAUAUAGACGGCCGAAUCUGUAUGCAUGGGUUUUCACCAGUUGUAAGCGGACAGAAUAAACUGUUCCCAAGUGUUGUCAUUCUUGUUUUGGCAUUGAUUUGUCAAUAGGGAAUCAUCUUUGACAAAAUCUCUAAUAAAACAAUAUAAACAUA